ACGGAAGGCAGCAGUGAGGAAUAUUGGUCAAUGGGCGGAAGCCUGAACCAGCCAAGUCGCGUGAAGGAUGAAGGUAUUAUGUAUUGUAAACUUCUUUAGACGUAGAGAAAUAAGGGGGUCGAGACCUCUGAUGCUAGUAUACGUAGAAUAAGGAUCGGCUAACUCCGUGCCAGCGGCCGCGGUAAUACGGAGGAUCUGAGCGUUAUCCGGAUUUAUUGGGUUUAAAGGGUGCGCAGGCGGCUUUUUAAGUCAGUGGUUAAAUCGUGGAGCUUAACUCCAUCCCGCCAUUGAUACUGGAGAGCUUGAUUGCGGUUGAGGUUGGCGGAAUUCGCCGUGUAGCGGUGAAAUGCAUAGAUAUGGCGAAGAACUCCGAUUGCGUAGGCAGCUGACCAAGCCGUAAAUGACGCUCAUGCACGAAAGUGCGGGGAUCGAACAGGAUUAGAUACCCUGGUA
rnacentral:rRNA from 1 species